UACGGAGGGGGCUAGCGUUGUUCGGAAUUACUGGGCGUAAAGCGCACGUAGGCGGCUUUGUAAGUUAGAGGUGAAAGCCCGGGGCUCAACUCCGGAAUUGCCUUUAAGACUGCAUCGCUAGAAUUGUGGAGAGGUAAGUGGAAUUCCGAGUGUAGAGGUGAAAUUCGUAGAUAUUCGGAAGAACACCAGUGGCGAAGGCGGGCUCACUGGCUCGUAACUGACGC
rnacentral:rRNA from 1 species